GACGAACGCUGGCGGCGUGCUUAACACAUGCAAGUCGAGCGGUAAGGCCCUUUCGGGGGUACACGAGCGGCGAACGGGUGAGUAACACGUGGGUGACCUGCCCUUAGCUCUGGGAUAAGCCUGGGAAACUGGGUCUAAUACCGGAUAUGACUCCAUGACGCAUGUUGUGGGGUGGAAAGCCUUGUGCGGCUAGGGAUGGGCCUGCGGCCUAUCAGCUUGUUGGUGGGGUNAUGGCCUACCAAGGCGACGACGGGUAGCCGGCCUGAGAGGGCGACCGGCCACACUGGGACUGAGACACGGCCCAGACUCCUACGGGAGGCAGCAGGUGGGGAAUCUUGCGCAAGUGGG
rnacentral:rRNA from 1 species